AUUGAACGCUGGCGGCAGGCCUAACACAUGCAAGUCGAACGAGUGGCGGACGGGUGAGUAAUGGCUGGGAAACUGCCCGAUGGAGGGGGAUAACUACUGGAAACGGUAGCUAAUACCGCAUACCAUCGGAUGUGCCCAGAUGGGAUUAUCUAGUAGGUGGGGUAACGGCUCCCCUGAGCGACGAGCCCUAGCUGGUCUGAGAGGAUGACCAGCCACACUGGACCUUAGACACGUUCCAGACUCCUAGGGGAGGCAGCAGUGGGGAAUAUUGCACAAUGGGCGCAAGCCGGAUGCAGCCAUGCCGCGUGUAUGAAGAAGGCCUUCGGGUUGUAAAGUACUUUCAGCGAGGAGGCGUUACUCGCAGAAGAAGCACCGGCUAACUCCGUGCCAGCAGCCGCGGUAAUUC
rnacentral:rRNA from 1 species